UUGUAAAAGGUCGCUCAGCAAUAUGCGACCGUUUAGUUGCGUAAACCUAACCAAACUCUCAUCUGCCUAAAGGACUUGUUCUCGCCGAAAACUGGGGAACGUCUCGCAGCUGUUGCAGUAAACUUUUACGACCAACACGACCUCGAGUGGGUUACCGCAAGUUUCAGAGCCCAGCUGUUGCAGGGCUUGCUCACUGUUUUAGUGCUUGAGUUACAAAACUACGCCCGGCAAGUUUUCUGGGCAAGGCGAGAGUGGUUAUUGGUUGAACCCAAUAAGUUGCUGACUUGAAAUUCUUGUUAGCGAGCAGGACUCUUGCUCCACGCAAGCGAAGUUUUUGCCACUCCGGCAUACGACAACAAAAAGAGAGACAGUGAAAGAAAAAGGUGAAUGAAGACGACGACGCAGACAGCAUUCAGCACUGCGAUGAGAUUUGCAGCCGGUUUCUGGUUUCUGUUGGCCCUGGCAGUCCUACCAGCUAUCCUGAUGGACGAGGACGUCACAUUGCCCUCGCAUUGCGAACCGGUGGCGUGCAACAAAUCAUGCUUGGCUCAGGGAGACAGGGGAGGAGAGUGCUUUUACGAGAUGUGUGCAUGCGUAGCGCAAUCGCCCUUCGAAGACGACUGACACCCAAAACAUUGGCUCAGGAACAGCCAGACAGGAACGAUGACGACCCUCCCUGAAGACUUCUUGCGCCAUGUAACGCGAAGGGUCUCCUUUAUAAACCGUUCACUUUGCGA